AAGGAUUGCAGAAACAACUAUUCUAGCCACGGUAGUUGUGCCGUGCUUUGAUGUGGCCUGUUCCACUCCAGAAAGGUCAAUCGGCUUCACCAACUUAUUUGACUGGAAAGGGCACCACAGUGAUAAAUAGCUUGUGGCGGCCAAGUGUUCAUAGCGACGUCGGUUUUUGAUCCUUCGAUGUUCGCUCUUUCUAUCAUUGUGAAGUAGAAUUCACCAAGUGUUGGAUUGUUCAUCCACUAAUAGGGAACGUGAGCUGGGUUUAGACCAUCGUGAGACAGGUUAGUUUUACCCUACCCUAUCAAGG
rnacentral:ncRNA from 1 species